UCCAGACUCCUACGGGAGGCAGCAGUGAGGAAUAUUGGUCAAUGACCGCAGGGCUGAACCAGCCAAGUCGCGUGAGGGAUGACGGUCCUAUGGAUUGUAAACCUCUUUUGUCAGGGAGCAAAGGGCGCCACGUGUGGCGUUUUGCGAGUACCUGAAGAAAAAGCAUCGGCUAACUCCGUGCCAGCAGCCGCGGUAAUACGGAGGAUGCGAGCGUUAUCCGGAUUUAUUGGGUUUAAAGGGUGCGCAGGCGGAGGUGCAAGUCAGUGGUCAAAUUGCGGGGCUCAACCCCGUACUGCCGUUGAAACUGCAUCCCUUGAGUGCGCGAGAAGUAUGCGGAAUGCGUGGUGUAGCGGUGAAAUGCAUAGAUAUCACGCAGAACUCCGAUUGCGAAGGCAGCAUACCGGCGCUCAACUGACGCUGAAGCACGAAGGCGUGGGUAUCGAACAGGAUUAGAUACCCUCGUAUG
rnacentral:rRNA from 1 species